UUUGCGUCGAAGGUAUACCGGUAAGGAGUGCUGGAGCGAAUAGAAGUGAGCAUGCAGGCAUGAGUAGCGAUAAUUAAUGUGAGAAUCAUUAACGCCGUAAACCCAAGGUUUCCUACGCGAUGCUCGUCAUCGUAGGGUUAGUCGGGUCCUAAGUCGAGUCCGAAAGGGGUAGACGAUGGCAAAUUGGUUAAUAUUCCAAUACCAACAUUAGUGUGCGAUGGAAGGACGCUUAGGGCUAAGGGGGCUAGCGGAUGGAAGUGCUAGUCUAAGGUCGUAGGAGGUUGUACAGGCAAAUCCGUAUAACAAUACUCCGAGAACUGAAAGGCUUUUUGAAGUCUUCGGAUGGAUAGAAGAACCCCUGAUGCCGUCGAGCCAAGAAAAGUUUCUAAGUUUAGUUAAUGUUGCCCGUACCGUAAACCGACACAGGUGGGUGGGAUGAGUAUUCUAAGGCGCGUGGAAGAACUCUCUUUAAGGAACUCUGCAAAAUAGCACCGUAUCUUCGGUAUAAGGUGUGGUUCGCUUCGUAUUAGGAUUUACUCCGAAAGCGAAGAAACUUACAACAAAGAGUCCCUCCCGACUGUUUACCAAAAACACAGCACUCUGCUAACUCGUAAGAGGAUGUAUAGGGUGUGACGCCUGCCCGGUGCUCGAAGGUUAAUUGAUGGGGUUAGCAUUAGCGAAGCUCUUGAUCGAAGCCCGAGUAAACGGCGGCCGUAACUAUAACGGUCCUAAGGUAGCGAAAUUCCUUGUCGGUUAAAUACCGACCUGCAUGAAUGGCGUAACGAGAUGGGAGCUGUCUCAAAGAGGGAUCCAGUGAAAUUGUAGUGGAGGUGAAAAUUCCUCCUACCCGCGGCAAGACGGAAAGACCCCGUGGACCUUUACUACAGCUUGACACUGCUACUUGGAUAAGAAUGUGCAGGAUAGGUGGGAGGCUUUGAGUAUAUGACGCCAGUUGUAUAUGAGCCAUUGUUGAGAUACCACUCUUUCUUAUUUGGGUAGCUAACCAGCUUGAGUUAUCCUCAAGUGGGACAAUGUCUGGUGGGUAGUUUGACUGGGGCGGUCGCCUCCCAAAUAAUAACGGAGGCUUACAAAGGUUGGCUCAGAACGGUUGGAAAUCGUUCGUAGAGUAUAAAGGUAUAAGCCAGCUUAACUGCAAGACAUACAAGUCAAGCAGAGACGAAAGUCGGUCUUAGUGAUCCGGUGGUUCUGUGUGGAAGGGCCAUCGCUCAAAGGAUAAAAGGUACCCCGGGGAUAACAGGCUGAUCUCCCCCAAGAGCUCACAUCGACGGGGAGGUUUGGCACCUCGAUGUCGGCUCAUCGCAUCCUGGGGCUGGAGCAGGUCCCAAGGGUAUGGCUGUUCGCCAUUUAAAGCGGUACGCGAGCUGGGUUCAGAACGUCGUGAGACAGUUCGGUCCCUAUCUGCCGUGGGCGUAAGAAGAUUGAAGAGAUUUGACCCUAGUACGAGAGGACCGGGUUGAACAAACCACUGGUGUAGCUGUUGUUCUGCCAAGAGCAUCGCAGCGUAGCUAAGUUUGGAAAGGAUAAACGCUGAAAGCAUCUAAGCGUGAAGCCAACUCUAAGAUGAAUCUUCUCUAAGCUCUCUAGAAGACUACUAGUUUGAUAGGCUGGGUGUGUAAUGGAUGAAAGUCCUUUAGCUGACCAGUACUAAUAGAGCGUUUGGCUUAUCUUUAAUAAAGCAU
rnacentral:rRNA from 1 species